UUAGCGGCGGACGGGUGAGUAACACGUGGGUAACCUGCCUGUAAGACUGGGAUAACUCCGGGAAACCGGGGCUAAUACCGGAUGCUUGUUUGAACCGCAUGGUUCAAACAUAAAAGGUGGCUUCGGCUACCACUUACAGAUGGACCCGCGGCGCAUUAGCUAGUUGGUGAGGUAAUGGCUCACCAAGGCAACGAUGCGUAGCCGACCUGAGAGGGUGAUCGGCCACACUGGGACUGAGACACGGCCCAGACUCCUACGGGAGGCAGCAGUAGGGAAUCUUCCGCAAUGGACGAAAGUCUGACGGAGCAACGCCGCGUGAGUGAUGAAGGUUUUCGGAUCGUAAAGCUCUGUUGUUAGGGAAGAACAAGUACCGUUCGAAUAGGGCGGUACCUUGACGGUACCUAACCAGAAAGCCACGGCUAACUACGUGCCAGCAGCCGCGGUAAUACGUAGGUGGCAAGCGUUGUCCGGAAUUAUUGGGCGUAAAGGGCUCGCAGGCGGUUUCUUAAGUCUGAUGUGAAAGCCCCCGGCUCAACCGGGGAGGGUCAUUGGAAACUGGGGAACUUGAGUGCAGAAGAGGAGAGUGGAAUUCCACGUGUAGCGGUGAAAUGCGUAGAGAUGUGGAGGAACACCAGUGGCGAAGGCGACUCUCUGGNCUGUAACUGACGCUGAGGAGCG
rnacentral:rRNA from 1 species